AAAAAUCAGUCUUUUAAAACUUCAGCAUUUCUGUCGACAUCCACAAUAUAUAAUAGCUCGUCUUCUUCGUAUUUUCUAAUUCUUUAUUUCACUGUGAUAAUAUCAUUAUCUACUGCGUAUAGGGUAUGAUCAGCAGUUGAUGCUCACAAAAAUGAAAAAGAGACAGCCUUUCAUAAAGACCUGUUGCAUUCUCUGGUUAUAACAGAUGACGCUUCCACAAUUGAUGGUGAAGUUGGGAAGAAAUUGAACCUCAUGGUUCCUGUUCCUGUUCCUCAGGUUGGUGUUCUUCUCUUUCGCUGUUGUAGGAUUGCUGUAGUAGGCAAAACCAGAUGAGUGUUGCGAUUCUGGCUUUCUUCCGUGGUUUGAGCGUCAUUGAGCGUGUUUAAUGGUUGAUAGAUUAAUGUUGACUGAAGUUUUCAAGUUUUCUUUUACAAUAUCCUUGCAUUGAUUUGUAUAUCAAAUAUGCUGAUCUAUAUACGAUCCAUCCAUUAUCCGCAGUAUGCAUUAUGUACAAACCAAGGAGCUGCUCCUUGGAUGUAUGUAAACAAAGCUGGCUAACCACGCUCCAGAUUAGAUUCAUAGCCACAUCGCCCGUAUGCCUCACCUAAGCCACUUCUUAAAUGUGGGUGCUGCUCAAUAGCGUUCUUAAAAGCAUACCCAUGAAUUUCUUUGAUCAAACUCAGUGCCGCUAUGUUCUCACAAGCCAACAGCAAAGCAAGAAGCGUUAUCAAAUUAGGUCUCAAACCCCACUUUUCCAAUUCUCCUGUAGAUGAGAAAACUUUGCAAAUAGUUCAAGAAAAAGUUAACAAAUGAGGUGGUAGAAAGUGAAAACUUCAACAUCUCUGCAAAAUGAAGAAUGAUGGAAAGAGCUGGAAUCAUUUGAAUGUAAAGAAGAUGUUAAAUUUAAUGAUUUUUUCUGUUGAGUUUAAAUUCAAAAAAAGGAAAUCCACCGUAAAGUUGUUUUACGGAAGGACACGUAAAAUUCUAUGGGAUGUGUAUGCAUGAUUUUCGGUCGAUUUGAUUUGAUCGGUUGGUUGAUGUAAUCUGUUUAAAUUUGUAUUUUUAUAUAUAUAUGCUGAAAUAAAAAGAAGAGAUUACUUCUUCUCUCCAAAAGAAAGGGCACGCCUCUUCAAAACAGCAAAACAGAGGCAGUUGCAUAAGCUUGCUCUGUUUUGCUGCCCUCUCUCUCCUCAACUUUCUCUCUCUAAGUUUCCUUAUUCACAGAGCCUCCUUUGAAGCUUAUUCGCUUUCGAUCAACAAGUGGUAUCAGAGCUAGGUUAUCUUAAGGGACCGGUAAACCAAUAUACCCUCAAAAAAUCCAAUGACAUCCACUAGAACAACACCCCCUCCAUACUUCAAUGGAGAAAACUACCAUGUAUGGGCAAUCAAAAUGAGAGCCCAUCUGAAAGCCUUAAGUCUGUGGGAUGUUAUUCUGGAUGACAGUGAUCCUCCUCCACCAGGGGACACUGCCACUAUAAACCAAAUCAGAAGGCACGAGGAAGAUAAAGCCAAGAAACCAAAGGCAAUUGCUUGCCUUUUCUCGGCCGUUUCGGAUAGGGUAUUUUCAAGGAUUAUGAACUUCGAAUCACCAAAGGCUGCCUGGGAGAAACUUAAGGAAGAGUUCGAUAGGGGAGUCAGAAGUAGGAAGGUAAAAAUCUUGAGAUUGAAGAGUGAGUUUGCAUUACUCAGAAUGCAGGAAAAUGAAUCAGUGAAGGAAUAUGCAUCCAAACUCUCGGACGUGGUAAACAAAAUGAGACUGCUUGGGGAGGAUUUUCUGGAAUCAAGGGUAGUAGAGCAAAUUCUUAUCAGCUUGCCCCCCAAAUUCGCGUCUAAAAUCUCAGCUUUGGAGGAGGUUGCAGACAUUGAGACUAUCUCCUCGACUGAGCUGAUAAACAAGCUUCAAUCCAGUGAGCAACGGGUAAAUAUACAUGUUCGACAACAUACAGAGGGAGCCUUAAUUUCAACUCAGAACAAAGGCAGCUCUUCAACACAGAUUCAAGGAAGAAGGAGUGAAUGGAAUCAAACUGGAAACCAAAAUCCCAGUAAACAAAAGAAAUAUUCUGAGUGCAGUAUCUGUUCCUUAACAAAUCACUCAGAAAAUGAGUGCUGGUACAAGGGAAAGAAAACCGUUCAGUGCAAUUUUUACAAAAGGCUUGGUCACAAGGAAAAAUUCUGUAGAUAGAAACAGAAGCAGGAAGGAUCACGACCAAAGUAGGAACAACUGUAAGCCAAUAUCACCAAGGUGUCCUGUGAGCCAAGUGACACAAUUCUCGUUGCGCUAAGUAAGCCGCAAGUGGAGGAUGAUACUCUCUGGGUGGUGGACAGUGGAUGCACCUCCCACAUGUGCAAGGAUGAGGACUUAUUCGUAUCACUUGACAGAACAAUCACAGGCCAGGUCCGACUUGGAAAUGGUAUGCUAGAAACCAUCAAGGGCAAAGGCAACAUAGCCAUUGAAACCAAGGAAUGUAGGAAACUUAUCACUGAUGUAAAUUUUAUUCCUACCCUCUCACAGAAUCUUCUCAGUGUGAAUCAGAUGACUGAUCGAGGCUACUCGGUGGGAUUCAAUGAUAACUGCUACAGGAUAUAUGAUCCUGAGGAUCGCUUGAUUGCUUUCAUCCAAAAGAAGAAUCAAGUCUACUCCUUGAAACUCAGAGAAGUAGUUGAGAGGGUCAGUGUUGCCUCUGUAACUGAAGGUGAGAUUUGGCACAGGUGCCUUGGGCAUUUUCAUGCGGCUGGGCUACAACAAUUGCAGAAGGGAAGUCUAACCAAGGACUUUCCAAAUAUUGUAGUCACUGAGACAGUAUGUGGUGCAUGUCAGAUGGGGAAAUUGGCAAGGAAUUCAUUUCCUUCGCAAGCAGAUUAGAGAGCAAAAGAGAAGCUGGCACUUAUCCAUUAUGACAUUUGUGGUCCAAUGACAGAAAACUCCAUGAGUGGUUGCAGGUAUUUUGGCUUGUUUAUAGAUGAUUUUUCCAGGAUGAUUUGGGUUUGUUUCCUGCAGAAUAAAGCUCAAAUUUUAGGUGAAUUUAAGAAGUUCAAGGCUAUUGUAGAGAAUGAAAGUGGCAGUGUAUUGAGGUGCCUAAGGACAGAUAAUGGGCUUGAAUUCAAUUUCAGCCAAUUCAAUGAUUUCUGUUCUGAGAAUGGGAUCAAAAGACAGCUCACGGCACCAUAUUCUCCUCAACAAAAUGGUGUCUCGGAGAGGAAGAACAGAACCAUUGUGGAAAUGGCAAGAAGCAUGCUUGCUGACAAGCACCUGCCUAAAGCCUUGUGGGCUGAGGGAGUGAACACUGCUGUGUUCCUGCUCAACAUGCUGCCUACAAAGGCUGUAAAGCAGAUGACACCGGCGGAGGCUUGGAGUGGCAUCAAACCAUCAACUAAGUAUCUAAAGGUGUUUGGAUCCGUGUGCUACUGCCAUGUCUCGGAUGACAGGAGAUCCAAGCUAGAAAUGAAGACUGAAUUGGGAGUAUUUUUAGGAUACAGUACUGAAGCAAAAGCAUAUAGAAUUCUAAACCUGAAAACCAACAAGCUUAUGAUUCGAAGAAAUGUAACGGUGGAUGAAAACAGCUACUGGAAUUGGGAAAAGCAGAAAGUCGAACGAGACUGUGUCACAGUUGAAGAAGGAAAGAAAUCAAUGACAGUCAAACCCAACUCAGAGUGAUGAAGAAGACGAAUAAGAUGAAGAAGGUGAAGCAGAAGAGAGAAUAAAAAUAAAAAGUCUAAUUGACAUCAAUGAGAGGUGCAGCUUUGCCUCAAAAGAACCUUCCUCUGUUGAGGAAGCACUUCAGCAGCAAGAGUGGAGACUUGCCAUGGAAGAGGAAAUCAGGAUGAUCGACAAAAAUAAUACUUGGUCUCUGGUAAAAUCAAGUACAAACAAAAAACCUAUUGGAGUAAAGUAGGUGUUCAAAGUGAAACUCAAUCCGGACGGGACAACAAACAAGCACAAGCACGGCUUGUGGCAAAAGGGUACUCCCAGCUUUCAGGAAUCGACUACACAAAGACCUUUGCUCCUGUGGCCAGAUAUGAAACAAUUAGACUCAUUCUAGUCAUGGCAGCUCAGUUUAGUUGGAGUGUGAUGCAUUUGGAUGUAAAAUCGGCCUUCUUGAAUGGCAAGCUGAAUGAAGAAAUUUAUGUUGAGCAGCCACUGGGGUUCAUUCAACCUGGAAAGGAGAGACACGUCUAUCUUCUUCACAAGGCCCUAUACGGCCUCAAACAGGCUCCACAAGUCUGGUAUGAUAAGUUAAAUACAUACUUACUCCACUGUGAGUUUGAGAGGAGCAUGACAGAAAAUACACUGUAUGUGAAUAGAGAUGAAGACAGUCUUAUCACUGCAGUAUAUAUUGAUGAUAUACUGGUGACAGGCAGCAACAAAAGGAAAAUGAUAGAGUUCAAGCUAAAAUUGGAAAAGGAAUUUGAGUAUGUAGCCGCAGCUACAGCAACUAACCAAGCAAUUUGGUUGAAGAAGGUGUUCAAUGAUGUAAAGCUGAACAAACAAACACCUACAGUGUUAUAUGUAGACAACAAGUCUGCAAUUGCCAUUGCGAAAAAUCCUGUAAUGCACGGGAGAACUAAACACAUCAACGUUAAGUAUCAUGCUAUACGUGAGGCUGAGAGGAAUCAAGAAAUAAAGCUGAUACAUUGCUCCACUGAUGAUCAGCUUGCAGACAUUCUAACCAAGGUCGUGUCUAAAGCUAAAUUUGAGGAAUUGUGGAAAAAUGUGGGGAUUGGUGAAAAAAGUCAUUAGGGGGGGAGUGUUAAAUUUAAUGAUUUUUUCUAUUGAAUUUAAAUUCAAAAAAAGAAAAUCCACCGUGAAGUUGUUUUACGGAAGGAUACGUAAAAUUUCAUGCGAUGUGUAUGCAUGAUUUUCGGUUGAUCUGAUUUGAUCGGUUGGUUGAUGUAAUCUAUUUAAAUUUAUAUUUCUAUAUAUAUAUGCUGAAAUAAAAAGAAGAGAUUACUUCUUCUCUCCAAAACAGAGGCAAUUGCAUAAGCUUGCUCUGUUUUGCUGCCCUCUCUCUCCUCAACUUUGAAGGUUAUUCGCUUUCGAUCAAUAGAAGAAAUGAAAAACACUUUGGGGGAAAUAGUAAAAAAAAAUAAAGCGGAGGAAACAUAUGCAAAAUAAGUCUCCUUUAAAAAGAAAAAAUUAAAAAGAAAAGAGAACAGGAUUUAAAGUUGAUGCUGUUACAUAAGAAAAAAAUAAACGAACAAACAAACAAAGAACUGCUGUGUUUUUAAAGAAGAUACAACUUUCUAUAUGCGUAAUCAUCUUAGAAGGCUUUCUUGACGAGAACAUAUAUCAAAAUAAAGCAAGGCAAAGAAAGAUUGAAGCAAGAUUCCACAAACAUUUCUUACCCUUUCUCCUGCUCAACUGCAAAUGUUUCUGUCCUUUAUUCUUCUGCUUUUACGGCAACCAAACACCAGUUUUACACAUUCUUGGGUCUCAUCACGUCAUUCUUUUUUGGAGAAGCAUGAGAGCUAUGAUGUGAAUCUAUAUUUUGCAUGAGUGGCUAUGGGGAUAGAGGAGGAGGGAGAGGGAGUCCUACAAAGAGCCCAAAAGAACGGAGCUUUAGCAAGGUUCCCUCUUCAUCUCCUCCUCUGUCUCCUAGCCUCUCAUGGGAGCAUAUCCAAAGAAAAAACUACAAGGAGGAGUUUUAAGUUAACGGGUUUGAAGGUAUAUAUAGAGAGAGGAUAGACGGUAAUAUUUUGCAUGAGUGGCUAUGGGGAUAGAGGAGGAGGAAGAGGGAGUCCUACGAAGAAGAACCCAAACGAGGGACUUUAGCAAGAUUCCCUUCUUCCUCCCUCUCUAUCUCCUAGCCUCUCAUGGGAGGAGAUCAAAAGAAAAAAAAAAAUUACAGGGAUGAAGUUUAAGUUAAGGGGUUUGUAUGUUCAUGUACAGGGAUGANNNNNNNNNNNNNNNNNNNNNNNNNNNNNNNNNNNNNNNNNNNNNNNNNNNUUCGCUAUGAAAUAGGUUUCUUUGUGAAACUGAGCGAUCUGGAUUUCCUCCGUGGUUUGAGGAUCACUGAGCGGGUUUAAUGGUAGAUAGAUUAAUCUUGAGUGAAGUUUUCAAGGUUUCUUUUACAAUAUCCUUGCGUUGAUUUGUGAUGAUGAAAUCUCUGUGCUUUGAUUUUAAUUCAUUAGUGGCCUUUUUCGAAUCUUGCCUCACAAUCAAGGAUUGAAAUUCCAUCUCUCCAUUCUU
rnacentral:lncRNA from 1 species